GCCCCCGUAGCUCAGGGGAUAGAGCAACGGCCUCCGGAGCCGUGUGCGCAGGUUCGAAUCCUGCCGGGGGCACCG
rnacentral:tRNA from 19 species